UCACCGAGCACGGUUAGACGGACGGACAUGGCGAAACUAUACGGGCUCCUUGUUUACUACCGAACCCUAAAAAAUAAUGACAAAGUUAGUUAAGU